rnacentral:snRNA from 1 species
CAAGUACCGCGAGGUAAAGAUGAAAAG